UUCCGGUUGAUCCUGCCGGACCUGACUGCUAUCGGAUUGAUACUAAGCCAUGCGAGUCAUUGUAGUAAUACAAGGCAGACGGCUCAGUAACGCGUAGUCAACCUAACCUAUGGACGGGAAUAACCUCGGGAAACUGAGUAUAAUGCCCGAUAGAACAUUAUGCCUGGAAUGGUUUAUGUUCCAAAUGAUUUAUCGCCGUAGGAUGGGACUGCGGCCUAUCAGUUUGUUGGUGAGGUAAUGGCCCACCAAGACUAUUACAGGUACGGGCUCUGAGAGGAGUAGCCCGGAGAUGGGUACUGAGACACGGACCCAGGCCCUAUGGGGCGCAGCAGGCGAGAAAACUUUGCAAUGUGCGAAAGCACGACAAGGUUAAUCCGAGUGGUUUCUGCUAAAGGAACCUCUUGUUAGUCCUAGAAACACUAACGAAUAAGGGGUGGGCAAGUUCUGGUGUCAGCCGCCGCGGUAAAACCAGCACCUCAAGUGGUCAGGAUGAUUAUUGGGCCUAAAGCAUCCGUAGCCGGCUCUGUAAGUUUUUCGGUAAAUCUGUACGCUCAACGUACAGGCUGC
rnacentral:rRNA from 1 species